rnacentral:rRNA from 1 species
GAACUUUCCAGAGAUGGAUUGGUGCCUUCGGGAACUGUGAGACAGGUGCUGCAUGGCUGUCGUCAGCUCGUGUUGUGAAAUGUUGGGUUAAGUCCCGCAACGAGCGCAACCCUUAUCCUUUGUUGCCAGCGGUCCGGCCGGGAACUCAAAGGAGACUGCCAGUGAUAAACUGGAGGAAGGUGGGGAUGACGUCAAGUCAUCAUGGCCCUUACGACCAGGGCUACACACGUGCUACAAUGGCGCAUACAAAGAGAAGCGACCUCGCGAGAGCAAGCGGACCUCAUAAAGUGCGUCGUAGUCCGGAUUGGAGUCUGCAACUCGACUCCAUGAAGUCGGAAUCGCUAGUAAUCGUGGAUCAGAAUGCCACGGUGAAUACGUUCCCGGGC